AGAGUUUGAUCAUGGCUCAGAAUGAACGCUGGCGGCGUGCUUAACACAUGCAAGUCGCACGAGAACUCUUCUGCUUGCAGAAGAUAGUAAAGUGGCGCACGGGUGAGUAACGCGUGGGUAAUCUACCUCUGAAUUGGGGAUAACAUUGUGAAAGCGAUGCUAAUACCGAAUAAUAUCCCGAGAACUUAGGCUUUUGGGAUCAAAGGUGGCCUCUACAUGUAAGCUACUGUUUAGAGAUGAGCCCGCGUACCAUUAGCUUGUUGGUAGGGUAAUGGCCUACCAAGGCAACGAUGGUUAGCUGGUCUGAGAGGAUGAUCAGCCACACUGGAACUGACACACGGUCCAGACUCCUACGGGAGGCAGCAGUGAGGAAUUUUGCGCAAUGGGGGAAACCCUGACGCAGCAACGCCGCGUGAGUGAUGAAGGCUUUCGAGUCGUAAAGCUCUGUCAAGUGAGAAGAACCUACUUUUUGUUAAUACCAUUAAGUACUGACGGUAUCACUGAAGGAAGCACCGGCUAACUCCGUGCCAGCAGCCGCGGUAAUACGGAGGGUGCAAGCGUUAUUCGGAAUUAUUGGGCGUAAAGGGCGCGUAGGCGGUCUUUUAAGUCAGAUGUGAAAGCCCGGGGCUCAACCCUGGAAGUGCAUUUGAAACUAAUGGACUUGAGUAUGGGAGAGGGAAGUGGAAUUCCUGGUGUAGAGGUGAAAUUCGUAGAUAUCAGGGGGAACACCGGUGGCGAAAGGNNACUUCCUGGNCCAAUACUGACGCUGAGGCGCGAAGGCGUGGGGAGCAAACAGGAUUAGAUACCCUGGUAGUCCACGCAGUAAACGGUGAACACU
rnacentral:rRNA from 1 species